UACGUAGGCAGCGAGCGUUGUUCGGAGUUACUGGGCGUAAAGAGUGCGUAGGCGGUUUUCUAAGUUUGGUGUGAAAUCUCCCGGCUCAACUGGGAGGGUGCGCCGAAGACUGGAAGGCUUGAGUAUGGGAGAGGUAAGCGGAAUUCCUGGUGUAGCGGUGAAAUGCGUCAGAUAUCAGGAGGAACACCAAGCGGCGAAGGCAGGCGCGCUCG
rnacentral:rRNA from 1 species